GGCAGACGGGUGAGUAUGCAUAGGAAUCUACCUAGUAGUAUGGGAUAGCCACUAGAAAUGGUGGGUAAUACUGUAUAAUCCCUGCGGGGGAAAGAUUUAUCGCUAUUAGAUGAGCCUAUGUUAGAUUAGCUAGUUGGUAGGGUAAAGGCCUACCAAGGCAGUGAUCUAUAGCUGGUCUGAGAGGAUGAUCAGCCACACUGGAACUGAGAUACGGUCCAGACUCCUACGGGAGGCAGCAGUGGGGAAUAUUGGACAAUGGGCGCAAGCCUGAUCCAGCUAUGCCGCGUGAGUGAGGAAGGCCUUAGGGUUGUAAAACUCUUUCAGUAGGGAAGAUAAUGA
rnacentral:rRNA from 1 species